rnacentral:rRNA from 1 species
AUGCUCCUACGGGAGGCAGCAGUAGGGAAUUUUCGUCAAUGGGCGCAAGCCUGAACGAGCGAUGCCGCGUGAGUGAAGAAGGCCUUCGGGUCGUAAAGCUCUGUUGCGGGGGAAAAAAGGCAGCAUCAGGAAAUGGGUGCUGACUGAUGGUGCCCCGCCAGAAAGUCACGGCUAACUACGUGCCAGCAGCCGCGAUAAUACGUAGGUGGCGAGCGUUAUCCGGAAUGACUGGGCGUAAAGGGUGCGCAGGCGGUCCUGCAAGUCUGGAGUGAAAGGCAUG